GAUGAAGGACGCAGCGAAAUGCGAUAAGUAAUGUGAAUUGCAGAAUUUAGUGAAUCAUCGAAUCUUUGAACGCAUAUUGCGCCCGCCAGCACUCUGGCGGGCAUGCCUGUUCGAGCGUCAUUUCAACCCUCAGGCCUCGCGUCUGGCGUUGGGGCGCUGCGGCCCUCCCGCAGGCCCCCAAAUUUAGCGGCGGAUUCCCCGCGGCCCUGAGCGCAGUAGAGAGUAAAAACUUUAACGCUCCGGCGGCCGUGGCGCGGUUCUGCCUCUUUCCCAAUAGCGCCAAUAGCGCCACCCCCAAAAAAGUUGACCUCGGAUCAGGUAGGACUACCCGCUGAACUUAAGCAUAUCAAUAAGCGGAGGA
rnacentral:misc_RNA from 1 species